GUCAUUGUAGUAUAGUGGUAGGAAAUAUUCCCGCCUGUCACCCGGGUGACUCGGGUUCGAUCCCUAACAAUGGCG